AUAUUUUUUUUUCUUAAUCCUUUGUCCAGGCCCGGAUGUGUGAGGAUAGCCUAGACUUUUUUGCCCACCAUAAGGACAGUGGCCACUCGACCAAAUCCUUAAACCUUGAAUUUUUUUAUUUCAAUAUAGAAAAAAAGGCAACAUUAACUUGGUUAUGUUGUAUGUGUGUGUGUGUGUUUUUUUUUAAUUACAAUUAAUGAUUUAAUCUGACAUUUAUAGUUUUGAUAACACAAGAUUUGAUGUCGGUUAAUAAUUAAUUAAACCUGUUAAUUUACCUAAUAAUAUAACUUGGGAAAACCUGUGGUGCAACUGUGGUACCGUGCCACAGUUGCAUCCAACUGUUUAAUACCAAUGGAUCUCAUCAAUUUAAGUACAUUCAACGAUUGAAUGUAACUAUAACACGAUAACACAAUUGCACCGAAACAUGAUCCGUAUAACUUUAUAUCAAUUUAAAAAUUAUUCCAAACAGAUAAAAUUAGGCUUAGCAACACCGGACAGUCGGACACAACAAAACCAAAAUCCCCGUAUCUCAAAAAAUAAAAUAAAAAAGAGAAGCGUGUUUCAAGUUACCAAAAAACCAGCCGCAGAAGCAUUAUUGCGCUGCUAGUAAUUUGGCUACUCGUACAAGUCUUAUCUUGGCCUGUUUGCCGUAGCUUUACAGACAAGAAAGUCCCAUCAACAGCGACUAAUAAAGCCUGAGAAUACCAAAAUCCCAACCAGCUGCAUGACAUAUUUAAUGUUUGUGCACCCAUUUUAAAACAUCACAGCCACACCGUGACAUCCAAAAUAAUUUUAUUAUUUAUUCAAACAUUUUAUUUACAGUAUUACCGUUUCUGUCAUUCCGAGUUCUAACAUCAG
rnacentral:lncRNA from 1 species